rnacentral:rRNA from 1 species
GAUCAUGGCUCAGGAUGAACGCUAGCGGCAGGCUUAACACAUGCAAGUCGAGGGGGUAUAGUAGCAAUACUAGAGACCGGCGCACGGGUGCGUAACGCGUAUGCAAUCUACCUUUUACAGGGGAAUAGCCCAGAGAAAUUUGGAUUAAUGCCCCAUAGUAUGUAUGAAUCGCAUGGUUUAUACAUUAAAGUUCCAACGGUAAAAGAUGAGCAUGCGUCCCAUUAGCUUGUUGGUAAGGUAACGGCUUACCAAGGCAACGAUGGGUAGGGGUCCUGAGAGGGAGAUCCCCCACACUGGUACUGAGACACGGACCAGACUCCUACGGGAGGCAGCAGUGAGGAAUAUUGGACAAUGGGCGCAAGCCUGAUCCAGCCAUGCCGCGUGCAGGAUGACGGUCCUAUGGAUUGUAAACUGCUUUUGUACAGGAAGAAACACUCCCUCGUGAGGGAGCUUGACGGUACUGUAAGAAUAAGGAUCGGCUAACUCCGUG